rnacentral:sRNA from 1 species
AAGUUUUCCAUAUCAUACGCACUCUUCUUUUAAAUCAUCAGUGUUAACAGGUACACUUGCCAGCAGAUAGAUAAAACUAUAGUUUAAAUAGCCUCUUAAUGUGCAGUUUUAAACAUCAAAUCUGUAAUAGCUAAACCUAGUUUUGCCAUUGCUUCAGGAAGUGACAGCUAAAACUAAGACAGAGAUGUAUCAGAACAUGGAUGACGAAAUGAAGAGAGAGCACUUGGCUGCAGAACAGCGCAUGGUCCACAGAAUCCAAAGGAUUAUGAUGGAAUGCCACAGAGAGAAGGUCAAAGCUGUGGAGAAAGCCAGGGCUGAAGAAAGACGCAUCGCCCAAGAAGCAAUCCGGGCCCAGAAAAGCAAAGCCGUGGAGGAAAUUGUGAAUACUGGUGUCACAGUUAUUAAGGAUGAGAAGACCAGUGUGGCCCGACUGAUGAGGGAAAAAGAACAUGAAAUGAACAUCCUCUAUGGCAUAGCUCAGAGGCAGAGGCAAGAAGAGGUACAGGAAGUGCUUCAAGAAGCAGAGAAAACACAUCAGGCCACUCUUGGCAAUAUGAUGGAUAAACUGGCUAACACCCAGGGGGAGCUGCUGUCUAUAGCAAAACAACUGGGAAUCAUGACAAAUUGGAAAGAUUUCCUAGAGGAGGAAUUACAGGAAACCAGGAUGGCAUUUCAAAAAUACAUCAAUUAUACCUUCCCUAAGCUUUCACCAGGACAU